ACUCAAAGGAAUUGACGGGGGCCCGCACAAGCGGUGGAGCAUGUGGUUUAAUUCGAUGCAACGCGAACAACCUUACCUACCCUUGAAUCCUUGGAAUUUAGUAGAGAUACUGAAGUGCCUUCGGGAGCCAAGAGACAGGUGCUGCAUGGCUGUCGUCAGCUCGUGUCGUGAGAUGUUGGGUUAAGUCCCGUAACGAGCGCAACCCUUGUCCUUAGUUGCUAACAGGUAAAGCUGAGAACUUUAAGGAGACUGCCGGUGAUAAACCGGAGGAAGGCAGGGAUGACGUCAAGUCAUCAUGGCCCAUACGGGUAGGGCUACACACGUGCUACAAUGGCCGGUACAAAAGGAUGCGAAGUCGCGAGAUGGAGCCAAACCUAUAAAGCCGGUCUUAGUCCGGAUUGGAGUCUGCAACUCGACUCCAUGAAGCUGGAAUCGCUAGUAAUCGUGGAUCAGCACGCCACGGUGAAUACGUUCCCGGGCCUUGUACACACCGCCCGU
rnacentral:rRNA from 1 species